rnacentral:rRNA from 1 species
UCAAUGUUGUGCAAGAGGCCGCGGGAAUGGAGAGUGUGCGAGAGUUAAUCGGAAGUACUGGGCGUGAAGCGUGGGUAGUUGGCUCAUGAAGGCACAUGUGAAAUCGCCGGGCGUAACCUGGGAACUGCAUGUGAUACUGGUGGUGCUAGAAUAUGUGAGAGGGAAGUAGAAUUCCAGGUGUAGCGGUGAAAUGCGUAGAGAUCUGGAGGAAUACCGAUGGCGAAGGCAGCUUCCUGGCAUAAUAUUGACACUGAGAUUCGAAAGCGUGGGUAGCAAACAGGAUUAGAUACCCCUGUAGUC